CCCGGAGACACACGCCACUUGGGUUUGCAGUCUAUUUACUGUCGUUCUGGACAGCGUCCACCCAAACAGAUGGUCCAGUGUCAAUAGGCUGCUAUUAACUGGCCGCUCUCCUCCCUCUGAUCCAAGACGGCAAAAAGCACAUUUAAAGCACAGGGAAUAAAUCCUUCCUGUGUGUGGUGGAGCCGUGAGUAAGACACCACUAAGAUUUUGAUUAGUGAAGAUGAUGAUGAUGUGACUUUAACACAUCGCUCCUCUAAAAUAUAUAUUUUUUUUCUAAAGCCAAGACUUUAUUUUUGACAUUACAACAGGUCCAAAUGCAUUGGGAUCUCCUGCCAUGCCUGUGACUAGCUGCUUCGUCAUCGCUGUGCCACACCCUGCUGAGGAAAAAGGACAACCACCUGACCUUGAGGCUCACAUCAGCCCAGCCCCCCCCCCCCCCCAGUUACAGACACAGAGAAG